AAGCAACACUCUGUGGUAGAUAUCUCAUUGUCUGCUUCAAUUUAAGCUUGCUAUAAUAAACAUAGUCUAACCUAUUCCAGAGGUCUCUGUAGGUGAGGUCAUCUGUUAUAUGGGCUCUAACAUC
rnacentral:snoRNA from 11 species